rnacentral:rRNA from 1 species
CAGCCGCGCGGUAAUACGAAGGGUGCAAGCGUUACUCGGAAUUACUGGGCGUAAAGCGUGCGUAGGUGGUGGUUUAAGUCCGUUGUGAAAGCCCUGGGCUCAACCUGGGAAUUGCAGUGGAUACUGGGUCACUAGAGUGUGGUAGAGGAUAGUGGAAUUUCCGGUGUAGCAGUGAAAUGCGUAGAGAUCGGAAGGAACAUCUGUGGCGAAGGCGACUAUCUGGGCCAACACUGACACUGAGGCACGAAAGCGUGGGGAGCAAACAGGAUUAGAUACCCCAGUAGUCCCUGUCUCUUAUACC